CUGCCAAUCUGGGCCGUCAGCUUGAGUGGAGUCACCGGUGAGAUACCACCUUUGUCUAGUUUUAAUUCUAACCUUGUCCCGUUAUCCGGGAUGGGGACAGUAGCUGGUGGGUAGUUUAACUGGGGCGGU
rnacentral:rRNA from 1 species